rnacentral:tRNA from 1 species
CCGGGGAGAGGGUCUCGGUCGGCCAGGGCGAAUCGACGUCGCCGAACGUCUUCCCCAGGAACGUGGUCGGGUUGUUCGCGUCGUCCCGCUUCGGA